rnacentral:rRNA from 1 species
CCUACGGGGGGCUGCAGUGGGGAAUAUUGGACAAUGGGCGAAAGCCUGAUCCAGCCAUGCCGCGUGUGUGAAGAAGGCCUUCGGGUUGUAAAGCACUUUCAGUGGGGAAGAAAGCCUUGGGGCUAAUACCCUCGAGGAAGGACAUCACCCACAGAAGAAGCACCGGCUAACUCCGUGCCAGCAGCCGCGGUAAUACGGAGGGUGCGAGCGUUAAUCGGAAUUACUGGGCGUAAAGCGCGCGUAGGCGGUCUGAUAAGCCGGUUGUGAAAGCCCCGGGCUCAACCUGGGAACGGCAUCCGGAACUGUCAGGCUAGAGUGCAGGAGAGGAAGGUAGAAUUCCCGGUGUAGCGGUGAAAUGCGUAGAGAUCGGGAGGAAUACCAGUGGUGAAGGCGGCCUUCUGGACUGACACUGACGCUGAGGUGCGAAAGCGUGGGUAGCAAACAGGAUUAGAUACCCCUGUAGUC